CGGACGGGUGAGUAACGCGUGGGUUAACCUGCCUCAUACAGGGGGAUAACAGUUAGAAAUGACUGCUAAUACCGCAUAAGCGCACAAAACCGCAUGGUUUGGUGUGAAAAACUGAGGUGGUAUGAGAUGGACCCGCGUCUGAUUAGCUAGUUGGAGAGGUAACGGCUCACCAAGGCAACGAUCAGUAGCCGACCUGAGAGGGUGACCGGCCACAUUGGGACUGAGACACGGCCCAAACUCCUACGGAAGGCAGCAG
rnacentral:rRNA from 1 species